rnacentral:rRNA from 1 species
ACCAAACUCCUACGGGAGGCAGCAGUGAGGAAUAUUGGUCAAUGGGCGUAAGCCUGAACCAGCCAAGUCGCGUGAGGGAUGAAGGUUCUAUGGAUCGUAAACCUCUUUUAUAAGGGAAUAAAGUGUGGGACGUGUCCUAUUUUGUAUGUACCUUAUGAAUAAGGAUCGGCUAACUCCGUGCCAGCAGCCGCGGUAAUACGGAGGAUCCGAGCGUUAUCCGGAUUUAUUGGGUUUAAAGGGUGCGUAGGCGGCCUUUUAAGUCAGCGGUGAAAGUCUGUGGCUCAACCAUAGAAUUGCCGUUGAAACUGGGGGGCUUGAGUAUGUUUGAGGCAGGCGGAAUGCGUGGUGUAGCGGUGAAAUGCUUAGAUAUCACGCAGAACCCCGAUUGCGAAGGCAGCCUGCCAAGCCAUGACUGACGCUGAUGCACGAAAGCGUGGGGAUCAAACAGGAUUAGAUACCCUGGUAGUCCACGC